GCCCCAGUGGCUCAGCGGCCUAGAGCGGAUGGCUGUUAACCAUCAGAUCGUCAGUUCAAAUCUGACCUGGGGCG
rnacentral:tRNA from 1 species